UACAGAGACUGCAAGCGUUAAUCGGAAUUACUGGGCGUAAAGGGUGCGUAGGCGGUUGUUUAAGUCUGUCGUGAAAUCCCCGGGCUCAACCUGGGAAUGGCGAUGGAUACUGGACAGCUAGAGUGUGUCAGAGGAUGGUGGAAUUCCCGGUGUAGCGGUGAAAUGCGUAGAGAUCGGGAGGAACAUCAGUGGCGAAGGCGGCCAUCUGGGACAACACUGACGCUGAAGCACGAAAGCGUGGGGAGCAAACAGG
rnacentral:rRNA from 1 species